ACUGGGAUGGGAAAGGGGGAAGAACCUCAAAAUCUUGAUUUUCUUCCAGGAAGAAUGAAUGAGCUCCAGCGAGGAGAGCCUCGAGCAUCGCGGCACUCAGGUGCCCUCUGGUGGUCAGAGCUCAGAGCACGGCCCGUCCUGGGCUCCUGACCAGGCAGCCUCCCAGGGACAAGGCUGUUCCCCUCCAUUCUCGCUUCUCUGCUUCCCCUCCUCCCCCAGUAGCUGCUGCUGAGUCUAUCUAUGGCCGCCUGGGCCAAGCUCGCUGCUUCGGGCCAGAUCCUGGAUGGUGGAGAAGGAGGAAGGGGAAAGGGAUAGGAUCAAAUCCAAGUCUAAAUAAAAUAAAAUUUCCAUGAAGAUAACCAUGCACAUACAAAGAAAGGCAAGCUUGACCACAGCCCUGCAGCUCUGAUAUUUUCUACUAUUUCUGAUUUCUAAUGAACUCCUAGAAAUGAAAAAGGAAGUGCCCAGGAGAAUGUUGACAUUUCUGCAAAUACUUUAAAGCCUGUUGGAGGAAGCUUGUUGGCUGACAGCUUGAUGGAUGGAUUUUGUGCCUUAUUUACAAGAUGGGAAAACAGGAGCAGAGAUCGCUGGAAGAUAAUUAUGCUUUUCUCCAUCAGUGUCAUUUUAUUUCAUUAAACUUUUUUGAUUGGUA